rnacentral:ncRNA from 1 species
GGGGAUGCUGCUCAAAAGGGAAUCAGGUGAGAAUCCUGAACAGUCCCGCUGCUGUAAGUCCGAUAAAGCAUUUUUGCAAUUAAGUCACUGAAUAUCGGUAAGAUAUUUGGGAAGACGCAAAAGUGAGGAUAAGUCAGAAGACCUGCCAUUUUUAAUA